rnacentral:tRNA from 1 species
GGGCCUGUAGCUCAGGGGUAGAGCAUCUGCCUUUUAAGCAGAGGGCCGGUGGUUCGAGCCCACCCAGGCUCA